rnacentral:rRNA from 1 species
UACGAGGGGGGCAAGUGUUGUUCGGAUUUACUGGGCGUAAAGGGCGCGUAGGCGGCCAACUAAGUCAGACGUGAAAUCCCUAGGCUCAACCUAGGAACUGCGUCUGAUACUGGAUGGCUUGAAUCCGGGAGAGGGAUGCGGAAUUCCAGGUGUAGCGGUGAAAUGCGUAGAUAUCGGGAGGAACACCGGUGGCGAAGGCGGCCAGCUGGCGCUGACCUGACGCUGAGGCGCGAAGGCUUGGGGAGCGAACAGG